UACAAGUUUCUUAGCAUUUGCAUUAGAAAUCCUGGAGAUGCUUUAGUCCGUGACAUUCGUAUUGGUAGGAUAUCGGGACGGUGACAGAGAAGUUAGAAGAAUGUGAGCAUAAGGUGUGGAUGCCGAAGCUAUGGUGCAAGCAAUUCAUAUACGAUGUACAUAGAGAGAGAGAGAGAGAUUGUUUGGAUGAAUCGGUCCACCCCGACCGCUUUAUCUUUUCUCCUCUUGAUUGUCCAUAUAUAUACGAAUGGUCAUUUCUUCUUUUGAAACGAGAUAGACAGACGCCAGCAUGUUGGAACUCAUCAGCCCGGAAGAUGAGUGUGGAUUGAAAUGGGCUUCGAUAGGACUUAUUGGAUGUGGGUCUAUGGAUUUGGGUUGUGAUUCAGUGACGAGCCAAGCUGCAGCUGCAUUGAUCCAAGGCGGACAGGACAGGUAUAAUGUCACCAUAUAACAAGAUUGAGCUUACGGUGAUUGUGGUUUUAGCCUCCCGGUGGUCGGGAUGUCUGUUUGCUGGCGAUGCGAAGAUGUCGAUGCUGGUGCUCCUCUACGCGGUUGCAGCAGCGACAAGACUUUUGUUUAUGAGAAGCCGUCACGAGGGACAAGGCCACAUGUGACACCGUAUUGCAACGAUCAAACUAAAUAUGCUAUCAGCAUCCGCAAGCAAAUGUAACACAAUCGGACGAUACGGAGUUGCCACCCAAGCAAAAGUUGCGAGGUGAAAGGAGGAGGAGCAGCAGCAGCAGCAGCAUCAGCAUCAGAGGAGUGACGGUGAUCGCAUCCUGCUCACAGCGUGCCUCGGGAUGCAUCUCAUCAAAGGAGAACAUUGGGUUCCGCUUUAGGGAAGCAAGACAAGGAGCCUUUCCAUGUGGAUUGUUAGCUGCACGCAGCCAUCGCUCGUCCUUGGAGAAAAAGAGGAGCGAGGGUUUCACUCCUCCAUCACCCGAGAUGACUGACUCCAACCCAUAAUAUCCACCGAGGAGCAGACAGUGCCACCCUGAAUCGUCCUCUCCAUGUCCAUGUCGAGGAACACUUGCUAUUCCGAAAGAAAAAUACACGUGGUCUCACCUGCUAUAGUUCCCAUCAGUGUCGGAGUCUUACCUUCAUCACCAGAUCGACAGGAAGCGCAAAAAAAUUAUUGCAAAAACAACUUAUCGUCGUUGGGCUCCAAGUGUUCUCAUGUUUAAUAUUUUAUGUUGGAUCUCAGUAUUUAUUAAAUAAACGGGACACUUUCUUUUUCA